GUUGAGCUAGAAUAUUGCUGGCCACAUUUUAAUUUCUUUACAUCCUGUUUGUUUGAAUUACAGUCUUUGAGUAUAUGACAGUCAUUGUUCGUGAAGUUCAUCAGAUGAACCAGAGCUCGAUUUGUUUUCACAGCCACAUAUUAAUCAGCGUUCAAACGAAGAAUAUUGUGCUUUAUGUUGUUUAGAAUAAGGUCUCUCGAACACAUUAGGAUCACGAGGAAUCGUUGUUUGCUUUUUGGAUAUCAAACACUCGGCGAUUUUGAACAGGUAUUGAGCUGUUGACGAAGCCAUUCGCGAUUCACUACCAACACAGUUUGAUUUCAGAACUCUCGACACCAUGUACGAACCUCACCUGCUUACUCCAUCCCAGGAACGGCCGCGCAGCACUCGGUCCCAUUCUCUCAAGCCAAUUAGUCAACCUAAUAUUCUGACUCAGAGAAAGCGACUUUACAGCCUCCCAUCCAAACCUGUAAUCCCGCCUCACAUCACAAUACAAGCCUGCCAAGACAGCAGCCAAGAAAGCUUCAGUGACGAAGAAGAACAAAGAAGUGGAUGGAGUCAUGAAAGUAUGGCGUGGUACACUCCCGUUGUUGGACUAUCCUGUAGUCUUGUGAUGUACCUAUGGUCAUGUAUGCUGGCCUACUAUUCGUCAACAUAACUCUCUGGAAACUAUCGGGGUAUCAGGAAGAAAUUUAAAACCAACGAAAGAUGGAAGGAGCAGCCGCGCUUACAUAAAGAGGAAUGGAGUCGAAACCAAAAUUCACCAAAAUUAGAAACGCCACAGAGUAAGGAAUGAUACAGUCCAAUGAAAAAAGUAGUAACAUGGAAGAUAGAGGGAAAUAAAAUGGGAAAUAAAUUUGAAAAUGAAAUGGGAAUUACAAAUGGAAAUAAUAGACAACAAUUAUGUGAAUAAUAGACAGAUAUAGCACCGCGUUUACGUAAAACGUGAGCGGCAAGAGUGAUCACGUGACCCCGAUUUUCCCGUUAUAUUUCACGUUUGCCGGCCGUACCUUGCUGUUUCUACGUUAAAGUGAGCUGUUUCACGUCUGCAGUUUACGUAAGAUUUUCUUCUCCUUUUCUCUCACAGAGUAGAAGUUAGUUGCCGCAAAAUUGCAGAAUAAGUAUUUCCCAUAACUUAUACAAGGGCAGAUGAAGUUUCAUGUUUAAAAUCCUUCAAAUACCUUACUUUUCGUCAGCAGACUGCUGCAAGAACUCACGUUGACUCACGAGACAGCUUCAUCGAAAAUCGAAGUGACGUGAGCUCAGUCCCGCGUAGCCAAAGCAAUAAAGUGAACGUUAUUUUACGUGAAGCGUGAUAGGGCGAACGUCAUGUUUGCCUGUUCGAGUAAACGCGGUGCUUAAUCAAUAGGGCGUUUUAAUUCCAUUAUCAUGUCUGAUAAAUUCUAUAUUUUUCAAAAUCAAGAAGAGUAAACGGCAUCGAUAACACAGCUAGUUUAUUUUGUUUGUUCGUAAUUUAAAAAAAUUGACGAUAAAUGUCCCGUUUGCACGAAUGAGCAGAAAAGCUUCACAUUCAAAAUUGCUUUUACGUCUUAUUUUCUAUUCAAGAUCUGACUUAAUUUGACUCUAUAUUCCUAGUAUUCAGUAAAGGGGCCUUUAUCAUAUCUCUAAGUACAUAUGUGCGCCAUGAAUGGUCAAUUUAGUGAGCGGUAUUUCAGUAUACGGCACACGCUAAAUUAAAAAGUUUGUUUGAAUUGAAAGCCUUAUCCUCUAUUUGAACCCAGAGAUGUUAUAGAUACCUUACUAAUCUCGUGGUCUCGGUCCGUACUGUAAGUUAAGUAACCUCGUUCUUCCGUAAGUUACAGUACCAACCUAGAACUCGGUUAGUAAGGGAUGAAUCCUAGCUGAAGUGCACUCCUUCUUCUACUUCCUCUUCUUCUUCUUUCUUGUACCUCAAGAGUUCUUAAUUAAAUUCUUUAUUAGCUUUCCAUCUCUUUGCUUUUCAUACCAUUCUUUUCAAUUUUGAAAUUUGGUGUAGCUUAUGAGAACAAGUUUGUUUCCUUUUAAGAAAAACACAGUUCAACUUACCUAAUUGAUAUUUACAAAGUGUUGACGUCAUUUAUGAAAAGCUUUGUUAUCAUCCAACUGUAAAAUGCUUAAGUGUAGGUGGGAAGACAUUGUAAUGCAAGCGAAUGAAAAUAACGUACUGUUACUUUUAAAGGUUUGGUUUUUUUGUAAUUAACAUAAUACUUUACUUGAUAUUUCACAAGAUGAGAGUUACCAUUUAGCCAGUAAUUAACAACAACUUUAAGGCAUAUUUUGUUGAAACUUUAAUUCGUAAACCUAAUGUUCCCCUGAUUCAUGAAGAAACUUUAUUUUGAUGUAACAAUGAAUGUAUUUAAAGUGUUCGUUCGCCGGCGAACGAUCAGUGGAGCUCUCAUAAAACAUGGGGGAAAACAUGCUGAAGUCGUACAGUUUAACUUUGGACCUUUUUGAUUCUUAAUUUUUUUUUUCGGAAAACGUUCUUCACAGUUAUAUUAAGUAAUUGUCUUUGAAACGUUCACCACUUCUUUUGACAUCAUAAAUAUAAAUAUUAAUAAUGAUAAUAAUAACAAUACUAAUAAUUAGUUAAUUAAUAAAAUUUGCCAUAGAGCUUUGUUUAUGUCA